GUGCGUAGGCGGUUCGGGAAGUGGAGUGUGAAAGCCCCCGGCUCAACCGGGGAAUUGCGGUCCAAACUCCCGAACUUGAGGGGAGAAGAGGAGAGUGGAACUCUUGGUGUAGCGGUGAAAUGCGUAGAUAUCAAGAGGAACGCCAGUGGCGAAAGCGACUCUCUAGGAUCCUCCUGACGCUGAGGCACGAAAGCUAGGGGAGCAAACGGGAUUAGAUACCCCGGUAGUCCUAGCCCUAAACGUUGGGUACUAGGUAGAGGAGACUCCGAUGUUUUCUCUGCCGAAGCUAACGUGCUAAGUACCCCGCCUGGGGACUACGACCGCAAGGUUAAA
rnacentral:rRNA from 1 species